rnacentral:rRNA from 1 species
UACGAAGGAUCCAAGCGUUAUCCGGAUUUAUUGGGUUUAAAGGGUGCGUAGGCGGGUUGUUAAGUCAGUGGUGAAAUCUUGCAGCUUAACUGUAAAAUUGCCCAUUGAUACUGACGAUCUUGAGUACACUUGAAGUGGGCGGGAAUAUGACAUGUAGUGGUGAAAUACAUAGAGAUGUCAUAGAACACCGAUUGCGAAGGCAGCUGACGAAACUAUAACUGACACUGAGGCUCGAAAGUGCGGGGAUCAAACAGG